AACGAACGCUGGCGGUAGGCCUAACACAUGCAAGUCGAGCGAUCCCUUCGGGGAUAGCGGCGGACGGGUGAGUAACGCGUGGGAACAUGCCCAGAGGUACGGAACAACAGUUAGAAAUGACUGCUAAUACCGUAUAAGCCCUACGGGGGAAAGAAUUUCGCCUUUGGAUUGGCCCGCGUUGGAUUAGAUAGUUGGUGGGGUAACGGCCUACCAAGUCGACGAUCCAUAGCUGGUUUGAGAGGAUGAUCAGCCACACUGGGACUGAGACACGGCCCAGACUCCUACGGGAGGCAGCAGUGGGGAAUCUUAGACAAUGGGCGCAAGCCUGAUCUAGCCAUACCGCGUGAGUGACGAAGGCCUUAGGGUCGUAAAGCUCUUUCGCCAGGGAUGAUAAUGACAGUACCUGGUAAAGAAGUCCCGGCUAACUCCG
rnacentral:rRNA from 1 species